UUUCCGUAGGUGAACCUGCGGAAGGAUCAUUAGUGAAUUUUAGGGCGUCUACUUGUAGCGCCUGCUUUCCACUUUUUAACACUGUGCACCUAGUUGGCGUAAAUGUGGCAAAGUGCUUGCUUAACGACGAUUGCGAAUGCAUUAUUUCUGCGACUUAUCUUAAACGCUAGUCAAAGUAUGUGACGACAUAUCGAUAUACAAUAAAACUUUCAACAACGGAUCUCUUGGCUCUC
rnacentral:misc_RNA from 1 species